UACGUAGGUGGCAAGCGUUGUCCGGAAUUACUGGGUGUAAAGGGAGCGCAGGCGGAACUGCAAGUUGGGUGUUUAAUCUACGGGCUCAACCCGUAUCAGCAUUCAAAACUGUGGUUCUUGAGUAAUGCAGAGGUAGGCGGAAUUCCCGGUGUAGCGGUGGAAUGCGUAGAUAUCGGGAGGAACACCAGUGGCGAAGGCGGCCUACUGGGCAUCAACUGACGCUGAGGCUCGAAAGCAUGGGUAGCAAACAGGAUUAGAUACCCUGGUAGUCCAUGCUGUAAACGAUGAUUACUAGGUGUGGGGAGAUUGACCCUCUCCGUGCCGCAGUUAACACAAUAAGUACUCCGCCUGGGAAGUACGGUCGCAAGAUUAAA
rnacentral:rRNA from 1 species